rnacentral:rRNA from 1 species
AGUGAACGCUGGCGGCAGGCCUAACACAUGCAAGUCGAACGAGUGGCGGACGGGUGAGUAAUGUCUGGGACAAUGCCCGAUGGAGGGGGAUAACUACUGGAAACGGUAGCUAAUACCGCAUACAAUCGGAUGUGCCCAGAUGGGAUUAGCUAGUAGGUGGGGUAAUGGCUCACCUAGGCGACGAUCCCUAGCUGGUUUUAGAGGAUGACCAGCCACACUGGAACUGAGACACGGUCCAGACUCCUACGGGAGGCAGCAGUGGGGAAUUUUGGACAAUGGGGGAAACCCUGAUCCAGCCAUCACGCGUGUGCGAUGAAGGCCUUCGGGUUGUAAAGCACUUUUGGCAGGAAAGCGUUACCUGCAGAAUAAGCACCGGCUAACUACGUGCCAGCCGCCGCGGUAAUAC